rnacentral:rRNA from 1 species
UACGAAGGGGACUAGCGUUGUUCGGAAUUACUGGGCGUAAAGCGCACGUAGGCGGACUCUUAAGUCGGUGGUGAAAUCCUGGAGCUCAACUCCAGAACUGCCUUCGAUACUGAGAGUCUUGAGUCCGGGAGAGGUGAGUGGAACUGCGAGUGUAGAGGUGAAAUUCGUAGAUAUUCGCAAGAACACCAGUGGCGAAGGCGGCUCACUGGCCCGGUACUGACGCUGAGGUGCGAAAGCGUGGGGAGCAAACAGG